UCCUCUCUGUUCUUCCUUCUUGCGCCGGCCAUGGUUGCUUCUGCUUCUGUUCGUUCUGGACUCCGCCGUCGGGGUCAUCCUCCUGGGAUUCGGGCCUCCAUUAUUGCCCGUGUUCGCCGUACUCGCAUGCAUGUUCCUUCUAUCGAUUCUUCGUCGGUGACACCAGCAGCUGCUAUGCGUCGCCAGUUUGCUGGAGUUGAUUCAGGGAGGCGUUCCCGCUCCGCGGCGGCUUGCCGGCCGCUCCGUUCUCGCCGGCCUGCAUUCUGACUCGGAGCAGUUUCUUGAUGGAGAUUUUCAUAGCCGCGGUCGGGAGAUUUUGUUAGGGAAGCGGUUUGUUGACUGUACUGUUGAUUCUACCAUCAGUGGUGCUUCCUCUUUCGUCUGUCAUGGCCUUCCGUCUGCUAUUCGGUCUGCUGGUGUGCGAACUGACUCCUUGGUGGUGCAGAUGAUUGACAGACCAACUGAGUCCCACCAUUAGUGUCGGUUCUUCUUUUGCGGUUGAUGGCCUUCCGCCUGCUGCUCGGCUCGCCAGUGUGCGAACGGAUUCCUCGGUCGUGCAGAUGACUGACAGAUCGAUUGGUCGUCCUUCCGAUCUCCUGCUGGUCUCCAUCUUGAUCGUUAUUUACUUGGUGCUCUGUCUGUGGUCAACCAUCCAAGAGUGGUGCCCCUUCGUGCGGCUGGUGCCGUCGGACGGUGACUCACUCACCUGUACAUGCUCUAUAUAUUACCAGUUGUACACUCACGGGCAAGAUCACCUGAGUACACCACAAUGGACGAAGCCUACCGUCCCCAAUGAGCAUCCUCCAUAGGAAAGCAAGUUAAGAAGAAGGGUAAUCAUCCGGCUCUAAAUUUUAUGCAUGGGAGCGGAAGCAGCUCGGUAAACUCUUGGCUUCACCUAACUCUUUUUGUCUUAGUUUAUCCCUUGCAAGCAAGCAAUUUACUACUCCCUCCGUCUCAAAAUUCUUGUCUUAAAUUUGUCUAAAUACGGAUGUAUCAAGUCAUAUUUUAGUAUUAUAUACAUCCGUAUCUAGAAAAAUGUAAGACAAGAAUUUUGGAACGGAGGGAGUAUAUUACAAAUCCUUCUAUGCAGGAGGAGAAUCUUAUAGUAUACAUUUCAAGACGACCAAUGCUUGAAACAGUGACUGAAACAGUUGGUCUAGAAGUACAAGGCUACACAUGUUGGUAUGCUCAUGAAGGUAUGAUACAAGCGUCUGUACUAAUUGCUCUGCCACGUCAGAAAGAUAGUUUCAGAGAAUCCUCCAUUACAUAUGAAGGAGAAACAACUAAUUAAGAAGAUGAAGCAAUGGAAAAGGCAGCUCAGGUGGCCUUAGAAUGCAUCUGCGCAGAUUAUAAUAUUUCUAUCAAUGACCAUAAUUACUACGCCCUUGAAGUAACAAAAGAAAGGUUGUUUAUAGCAAGACAGAAAGCUCAGACAAAACAAUGGCAAUUCAAUAUGGCCCGCCAGCAAGCAACUACACAGCAAAACGAGUUUGCAAGACAGACAAUGAUUCCGGCAAAGAUAUGCAGCAGCUUCUUUGAUGUAUUACCACUUCGCAUGUAUCCCAGCGCCCAGAUAGCGAUGAUCCCAUUAUCACAUACACAGGCGCGCAUCCUCCCGUCGGACGUGUGCAGGAAUUAACAAAAUCACUCUACCACUUUCUCACAGGCAUCAAUCCUGCAAGAGGAUAUACUAGGAUGAUCUAAUCCACUAGCAACUACUUCUAGCUCAUUUAUGUAGUGUGUUCGUAUUUUUAUAUACAGUUCUCUGUUUUCAGUGAACUGUAUGUAGUUUGAAUAACUGGUUUGCUUCUGAAGUAUGCUACUUUAAAUUUGUACCUUUGUAUCACUACAUUUCCAACAUUUCAAUAGCUUCGUAUGU